GCUGGGUGAGGUGGCAGACGCCUGUAGUCCCAGCUACUUGGGAGGCUGAGGCAGGUGGAUCACAAGGUCAGGAGAUUGAGACCAUCCUGGCUAACAGAGUGAAACCCCAUCCGUACUAAAAAUACCAAAANNNNNNNNNNUUUUGGUAUUUUUAGUACGGAUGGGGUUUCACUCUGUUAGCCAGGAUGGUCUCAAUCUCCUGACCUUGUGAUCCACCUGCCUCAG
rfam:Chlorocebus sabaeus isolate 1994-021 chromosome 20, whole genome shotgun sequence.